GUGGGGAAUCUUGCGCAAUGGGCGAAAGCCUGACGCAGCCAUGCCGCGUGAAUGAUGAAGGUCUUAGGAUUGUAAAAUUCUUUCACCGGGGACGAUAAUGACGGUACCCGGAGAAGAAGCUCCGGCUAACUUCGUGCCAGCAGCCGCGGUAAUACGAAGGGGGCUAGCGUUGCUCGGAAUUACUGGGCGUAAAGGGCGCGUAGGCGGACAGCUUAGUCAGAGGUGAAAGCCCAGGGCUAAACCUUGGAAUUGCCUUUGAUACUGGCUGUCUUGAGUUUGUGAGAGGUGGGUGGAACUCCGAGUGUAGAGGUGAAAUUCGUAGAUAUUCGGAAGAACACCAGUGGCGAAGGCGACUCACUGGCCCAAUACUGACGCUGAGGCGCGAAAGCGUGGGGAGCAAACAGGAUUAGAAACCCCUGUAGUCC
rnacentral:rRNA from 1 species